UACGUAGGGGGCUAGCGUUGUCCGGAAUCAUUGGGCGUAAAGAGCGCGUAGGCGGCCCGGUAAGUCCGCUGUAAAAGUCAAAGGCUCAACCUUUGAAGGUCAGUGGAUACUGCCGGGCUAGAGUCCGGAAGAGGCGAGUGGAACUCCUGGUGUAGCGGUGGAAUGCGCAGAUAUCGGGAGGAACACCAGUGGCGAAGGCGGCACUCUGGGCCGGUACUGACGCUGAGCCGCGAAAGCGUGGGGAGCGAUCCGG
rnacentral:rRNA from 1 species